rnacentral:rRNA from 1 species
CUGCUGCCUCCCGUAGGAGUUUGGGCCGUGUCUCAGUCCCAAUGUGGCCGUCCACCCUCUCAGGCCGGCUACUGAUCGUCGCUUUGGUAGGCCGUUACCCUGCCAACUGGCUAAUCAGACGCGGGUCCAUCGUAUACCUCCGGAAAUUUUCACACUCUGCCAUGCGACAGUGUGCGCUUAUGCGGUAUUAGCAGUUGUUUCCAACUGUUAUCCCCCUGUAUACGGCAGGUUACCCACGCGUUACCCACCCGUCCGCCA